GGCUUGUUGGUCUAGUGGCAUGAUUCUCGCUUUGGGUGUGAGAGGUCCCGGGUUCAAUUCCGGACAGGCCC
rnacentral:tRNA from 1 species